GUGGUGGCUCAGUGGUAGAGUGCUUGCCUAGCGUGUAUGAGGCACUGGGUUCUAUCCGUGGUACCACA
rnacentral:tRNA from 1 species